rnacentral:rRNA from 1 species
CUACGGGUCGCUCCAGUGGGGAAUAUUGGACAAUGGGCGCAAGCCUGAUCCAGCAAUGCCGCGUGAGUGAAGACGGCCUUAGGGUUGUAAAACUCUUUCGCUAGGGAAGAUAAUGACUGUACCUAGUAAAGAAGUCCCGGCUAACUCCGUGCCAGCAGCCGCGGUAAUACGGAGGGGACUAGCGUUGUUCGGAAUUACUGGGCGGAAAGAGUUCGUAGGCGGACUGACAAGUUAGAGGUGAAAUCCCAGGGCUCAACCCUGGAACUGCCUUUAAAACUGUCAGUCUAGAGACCGGAAGAGGUUAGGGGAAUACCUAGUGUAGAGGUGAAAUUCGUAGAUAUUAGGUGGAACACCAGUGGCGAAGGCGCCUAACUGGUCCGGUACUGACGCUGAGGAACGAAAGCGUGGGGAGCAAACAGGAUUAGAUACCCGUGUAGUC